AUGGAUCUGGAGAGCAGCGAGCUCGCUUCUUUCAACAGGAAAAGAGGUGGAGACACCAACGAGGCAGAGGAGCCCAUCAUGGCGAUAGCGGCAGCGGCCGAACAGAUUUUGAUUGCGGCGCCUCCAGAUCCAUCCGCAAUGACGUCCGUCUCCAUCUGCCUGGAUCAGAGGUAUGUUAUAAUCUGGCAUCCUCUUUUGUCUUCCUUUCCAUCUCCUCGUAUACACUAUGGAUCUCAAACUCAGCGACCUAGCUUCUUUCAACAGUUAAAUAGGUGGAGACACCAACGAGGCAGAGGAGCCCAUCAUGGGAUAGCGGCAGCGGCCGAACAGAUUUUGAUUGCGGCGCCUCCAGAUCCAUCCGCAAUGACGUCCGUCUCCAUCUGCCUGGAUCAGAGGUAUGUUAUAAUCUGGCAUCCUCUUUUGUCUUCCUUUCCAUCUCCUCGUAUACACUAUGGAUCUCAAACUCAGCGACCUAGCUUCUUUCAACAGUUAAAUAGGUGGAGACACCACCGAGGCAGAGGAUUCCAUCAGCGCCGGGGUGAGAUGCGGAUGGGAGACGAGGGGCGGCUGAUAAGACAGAACAGAGGGGAGUCAGAUGCGCUAGGACCCACAAGUACUAGCAUACAGGGCUAUACCUAG
rnacentral:rRNA from 1 species